CACUGGGCUUCAGUAGAUGGCUCAACGGGCAAAUGCUUUCUCCAUGCAAACAUGAAGAUCUGAGUUUAAAUCCCCAGAACCCAAGUAAGGUCAAGAUGUUUUAGCUUAUGUCUGUAGAUUCAGGGUUCCUAGAGCAAGAUGGGAGGUGGAGACGGGAGAAUCCCUGAAAGCUUGUGGACCUGCCAGCAUGGGUCUGCAGCAUCUCAAACAAGGUGAAGAGUAAGGAUUGACAUGAGAGAUUUUCCUAUGACCUCCAAAGCACAAGCGCUUGCGCGCACACGCACACACACUCACACAAGGCUGGGGGUGUGGCUCAGGGGUGGUAGAGCCCCUGCCUAGAAUUCCCCAGUGAGGGGCUGGGGGCGUGGCUCAGUGGUAGAGCCCCUGCCUAGAAUCCCCCCAGUGAGGGGCUGGGGGCGUGGCUCAGUGGUGGUAGGGUCCCUGCCUACAAUCCCCCAGUGAGGGGCUGGGGGCGUGGCUCAGUGGUAGAGCCCCUGCCUAGAAUUCCCCAGGGAGAGGGUGGGGUGUGGCUGAGAGGAGAGUGCUGGCCUAGAUCCAUUAGUGAGGGGCUGGGUGUAUAUACACAUUGCCCCCUGCAAAGCAGAGCUGAAUCACACCCCUCCACCCCAUCAUGCAACACUCAAACCAGUCUGCUUUUCUUCCCUAGCAGCCGGCUGCCUCUUCCCACUCCUGGGUGCCACCCUCCAGCAGGCACAGGUCCUGAGUUCGUGGGGCACAUACUGAUUUUGCAGCAGAGUGAGGAUCUGAAUUCAGGAUAUCUGGACAUGGUUUCUCACCAGGGCACGUCCUUCCCGCCCAGGAGGAAUGGAACCCAGAGCCUCUUGGAAGCACAGUGGUCCCCUAUGUGAGGAGUCCGAGACCAUAGCAAAAGUGCCACCCUGGGGACUUUGCUAGUAAUCGGAUGUUCAGCCUGAUAUGCUGGUGAACUGGGAGUCCAGCCUGAGCUACAAGCUGUGGAACAAACAUCUUGCAUCACCACAUGCUCUCCACAUAGAGUCACUUCAGGCCCAAACCAAAAAAAGGCCAGUGAUAAUUUCUGAUGCCUCCAAAACUGCGAGCCAAAAGAGUCUUUUCUGGGGCUAACUUUACUAGAUUCUAGGGACUUGUGUUUUUUUCUUUCUUGGGGUCUCAUGUAUCCCGGCGCUGUUUGUGAACUCUCUGCCUUAAGCCCUGCCUCCACCUUCUGGACGCUUUCUCCACUGUGUGCCCUUUUCUUCAGCGCUGAGGCUUAAUCCCAGGUGUGUGCCGAGUCAGCACCCUCUAAGCUGAGCUUCACCCCAGUCCAGUUCUGUUAAUUAUAAGCUAACAUCAGACUCCUUGGACAAAUGCUUGUUCUAUUUUAUUUUUUGUCACGUGAACAGUGGCCCACGAGAUCCACCGCUGUACUUAUUUUCUACUUCCUGGAUUUGUACAAAUCCCCUUAAUUAAAAGAGUAGAUAUUCUUGAUGGUUGUGUUUCCUGUCAAGAUAUAAUUAACACAUGAUAAACACACUCAUUUAAAAAAACAUUAAGACAGGGCCAGGUGGUGGAGACACGCAUCUUUGAUCCCAGCACUUGGGAAGCAGAG
ensembl:lncRNA